UCCUGCGAUUUCAACCAGACCAAAAGGGAGCUCUCAAGGUUCAACCCUAAAACACAAAAAUUCACCAAAUUGAAGGGGCAAAUCGGGUCCAAAUCAAAAUCCGAACAUAGAUUAAUGAUCACCUCAGUGAAGGGAUCAUAAGGCAAGGAAACCGGGACGCCAAGCGGACAAGCUAGUGGCGAUACGCGUUUGAAAGGAUUGCUCUAAAGGUAAAUGCUCACAAGAUUUCGGAUGAAGAUCAAGCGACUUUCAAGAACCGAACACAUCGAAUAAAGCUUCCGCAUUGAUCUAUUUUUGUUUUAGUUAAUAUGUAAACUCUUGAAAUUUCUUUUUGGAAGGUUCUAAACUAGUAGGAUGAUGACUCAAAUACUUUGAUCAUGUACGAUCGUAACUCAACAAAGUUUUGCUUUAAAAAGCUCGCAUUUUUGUAACA